rnacentral:rRNA from 1 species
CAGCCGCCACGGGAAAACAGAGGGUGCAAGCGUUAAUCGGAAUUACUGGGCGUAAAGCGCGCGUAGGUGGUUUGUUAAGUUGGAUGUGAAAGCCCCGGGCUCAACCUGGGAACUGCAUCCAAAACUGGCAAGCUAGAGUACGGUAGAGGGUGGUGGAAUUUCCUGUGUAGCGGUGAAAUGCGUAGAUAUAGGAAGGAACACCAGUGGCGAAGGCGACCACCUGGACUGAUACUGACACUGAGGUGCGAAAGCGUGGGGAGCAAACAGGAUUAGAUACCCCUGUAGUCCCUGUCUCUUAUAC